rnacentral:rRNA from 1 species
CCUACGGGAGGCAGCAGUGGGGAAUCUUAGACAAUGGGGGCAACCCUGAUCUAGCCAUGCCGCGUGAGUGAUGAAGGCCUUAGGGUUGUAAAGCUCUUUCGCCGGGGAAGAUAAUGACGGUACCCGGUAAAGAAGUCCCGGCUAACUCCGUGC